GACAGAGGGUGCAAGCGUUGUUCGGAAUCAUUGGGCGUAAAGGGCGCGUAGGCGGUUUGGUAAGUCAGAUGUGAAAGCCCAGGGCUCAACCUUGGAAGUGCAUCUGAAACUGCCAGACUAGAAUCUCGGAGAGGGUGGUGGAAUUCCCAGUGUAGAGGUGAAAUUCGUAGAUAUUGGGAGGAACACCGGUGGCGAAGGCGACCGCCUGGACGAAGAUUGACGCUGAGGCGCGAGAGCGUGGGGAGCAAACAGG
rnacentral:rRNA from 1 species